rnacentral:rRNA from 1 species
GGUGAACGCUGGCGGUAGGCCUAACACAUGCAAGUCGAACGGCAGCACAGUAAGAGCUUGCUCGUACGGGUUGCGAGUGGCGGACGGGUGAGGAAUACAUCGGAAUCUACUUUUUCGUGGGGGAUAACGUAGGGAAACUUACGCUAAUACCGCUUACGACCUACGGGGGAAGGCAGGGGAUCUUCGGACCUUUCGCGAUUGAAUGAGCCGAUGUCGGAUUAGCUAGUUGGCGGGGUAAAGGCCCACCAAGGCGACGAUCCGUAGCUGGUCUGAGAGGAUGAUCAGCCACACUGGAACUGAGACACGGUCCAGACUCCUACGGGAGGCAGCAGUGGGGAAUAUUGGACAAUGGGCGCAAGCCUGAUCCAGCCAUACCGCGUGGGUGAAGAAGGACUUCGGGUUGUAAAGCCCUUUUGUUGGGAAAGAAAAGCAGCAGGUUAACACCCCGCUGUUCUGACGGUACCCAAAGAAUAAGCACCGGCUAACUUCGUG